AAAAUAUUUUUUUCACCUUAUAAAGUAAGGGAAUUAUAAAUAUUGACAAAUAUAAAUCUUGACUAAAGAAAUAAAGAGAUGUUAGAUGCAAAGAGAUUCACAGUCUUCAAGUUCUAAACUUCAAGAAUCAGAUUGUUUUUUUGAGUUUGGCUUAUAUAUGUGUGUAAUUUUUGCAUUUUUUUCUGAAUAUAAACUUUAGAACAAUAAGUGAAAGAUCGCAAUUGAUUGCACAUUAGAAAAGCAAGUCCUGAUAUUUAACUACAAGAAUUUGCUAAAUGUUUUCAAUCUGCAAUAUGUAUGGAACUACAACGCCUUUUUUACGAUAAAAUAAAUGGUCUUUUUCAGCUGUGCUAAUAAUUAUUUGGAUGAAAUAAUGUCAAAAUGUGUUCUACAAUUGUUUAAGAAGACUGGAACUUAUGGAAAUAGAUCAUUUUGAAAAAACUUCAUUGAGUAGAGUAAUUAUAGGAACAUUAAUGUCACAAACAACAAAAUUUGAUUUGGUCGAUAAGUUGAAAGGCAAUUGUUUGAAGAGAAUAAUAGAAUACACUGGAAAAAUAAAUGUGUAGUUUUGAUACACAAAAAUUUGUGUAGUUUUAUUUUCACACAAUGAUGUGUAGAAUUAACACAAAAUUGUGUAGCCGCCAUUUUAAUAAGACACGUUCGUGUUAGCGGUUUCGUUUUGGAGGGAAAUCGAUUUCGAAGUUCAAACAAAGAAAAGAAAAGAAAUAUUUUUGUUUUUUUCGGUACGAAGCAUUUUUUGUUACAAUAUGUUUAAAAAUAAUACCUUGGUGUUAUAAUAUAAAAGAGUAGUUGAAUCUUUUGUUUUUAUUUGCUGUUCUUUAUUCACAUUUCUAUACUUUCACUCAAUAUACAUGCUGAAUUAAUUGGUGCACAAAUAUAAUAGAUACAAAUGUGUAAAUGUAACUAAG